AUAAACACAAACAAAUACAAAUUAAACAUACUAAUUAUAUUUUUAUUAUACUGCACAUACAUUUAAACAUUCGCACACAAUGCACUAUACAUAUACACAUUUAUAUAAAUAUAUAAUUUAUGUCUCUAUAAAUAAUACACAUAAUUCUUACCUAUGGUGUGAUCAGGAAAGCUUUGAGAAUCCUUUCUAUCUCGAUCUACAGUCCUCUCGGAAAUCCGAAUACCAUCGAAUAAUUUUUUUCGUUUAUAAUAGAAAACACAUAAAUUAAAUUAUGAAUAAUUUUGAAACUAUAUUACGCGAAAUGAGGAACAAAUUUUACCUUGGAACAUGAAGUCUCGGUCGCUAACGUCACCACCUGUUAUCAUAUGCGUGUUACUGAAAAUGGAAAGUGCUGAUGAUCAAAUCAACGCGCAUUGUCGCAUGUGGCAAACCAACAUCGUAUUUGGUCGUCACCCUUCCAUUUUUCUUCCUUAAUUUAAUUUAAUUUGUUUUCUUUUUUUCCUUUUCUUUUCAUUCUCUUUUUUUUUCUUUUUUUCUUUUUUUUUUCCUUCUCUUUUUCUUUUCUUUUCUUCUUCCUUUUCUUGUCUCUCUCUCUCUCUCUUCUCUUUCUCUCUCUACCCGACCAUGAUUCUUCUCUGUCUUCUUCUCCUUCUUCUUCUUUUCCCCUUUUUGAUUUUCCUUUCUUCUUCUUCUACUACUUCUUUUUUUUCCUUCUCUUAUUCCUCUUCUUCCCGCGAUGUCUCCCCUUCUGUCGCGUCCCACCUUCGCUAGUGCCGCUCACUCCUCCUCCUCAUGCGGCUUAGGCUCCUCCCCUCGCUCCGCUCUCUCGACCUCGAUCCUCACUAAGCUCGGUCUCCUCUCUCACCUACUUGAACACAUCUCGCUUUCUCUUUUUUUUUCUCUUAUGCUAUUUCAUUAUAUAUAUACAUACAUUUUUUUGUCGCUUUCUUUGUUCUCCUUCUCUCUACAUUCUUCUUUUUUUUAAUUAAUUAAU
rnacentral:lncRNA from 1 species